AGCAGUAGCCGCGGUAAUACGAAGGGUGCAAGCGUUAAUCGGAAUUACUGGGCGUAAAGGGUGCGUAGGCGGUUGUUUAAGUCUGUUGUGAAAUCCCCGGGCUCAACCUGGGAAUGGCAAUGGAAACUGGGCGGCUAGAGUGUGUCAGAGGAUGGUGGAAUUCCCGGUGUAGCGGUGAAAUGCGUAGAGAUCGGGAGGAACAUCAGUGGCGAAGGCGGCCAUCUGGGACAACACUGACGCUGAAGCACGAAAGCGUGGGGAGCAAACAGGAUUAGAUACCCGGGUAGUCCCUGUCUCUUAUAC
rnacentral:rRNA from 1 species